rnacentral:misc_RNA from 1 species
UGCAUGAAAUAGGACCCGUGAGGAGGGCGACACGCAUCACGAGGGUAGUUUGUAUUCUAGAAAAAUUAUAAACAGAAGAGACGAACUUGUUGAACUGUGUACGUGAGGAAGGCAAGCACCUGAAUGGACUCUUAGUAAGUGUCCUCUUCCAUGUGUGAACAUCAUCUCUGGGCAUGGUGAGCCGGGUAGAUCAGAUUUACCGGAGUAUCCUCCUCACCAAGUUCUUUGUGCGGGGUUGGGGAAAGCCAGAAAACCUUCGAAGGAUAUUUGCUUUUCGUAAAAUCCUUUCCAAUCGAGAGACAUGCCAGCACCUGGUGGACAAGACUCACCCUGUCUCCAUCACCAAGGAGGUGGACAACGGAGACCACACGGUGUUGGAGGCAGAGUUCAUAUCCCCCUUUGUGGAUCAGCUGCCUGGCCUGCUGCCCAAGGAGUCAGAGACAGCCAAGUUCCAGGUAGUGCUGCCCAAGGUGUGGCGCACACCUCACCUCAAGCCUACCUGCCUUCACCUGGCUGGCACUGGGGACCAUGGAUUUUGGCGCCGGAAGAUGUUGAUGGCCAAACCUUUAAUAGAUGAUUAUGGCAUUGCUUCAGUCAUACUAGAAAACCCCUUUUAUGGCUGCAGGAAACCGAAGGACCAAUUGCGGUCCAGCCUCCACAAUGUGUCUGACCUGUUUGUGAUGGGAGGGUGUCUGGUGUUAGAGAGUCUGGUCAUCUUCCACUGGUGUGAGCGGCAAGGCUUGGGUCCACUUGGCAUCACAGGCAUAUCCAUGGGAGGCCAUAUGGCCUCUCUGGCAGCCACCAAUUGGCCCAAACCUCUGCCGCUGGUUCCCUGCUUGUCGUGGACCACAGCAUCAGGAGUGUUCACCCAGGGUGUGCUGAGUGGAGCCAUCAAUUGGGAAAUGUUGAAGAACCAGUACUUCUCCAGUGAGGUGUUCAGAGAGGAGCUGUUCAACAUGAUUCAGUCUCCAGAAGGGCACUUCCCUGUCUACCAUGAGGUUGGACAGCAUUUUGCCCGAGAUUUCCCCAAGAGCCUAUCCCACGUGCAGCAGCUGAUGGAUGACCACAAGGAGAACACUCCCAAGAAGGAGUACCGUCAGCCCCGGGAACAGGAACAGGAGUCUAUGGCACCACAGAGAGUGGCUUCAGGGGGAAUAGGACUGAGUCUGUCCCUUCCCAAGUUUAACAUCUUCAAUGCCUUUGGUCUGUCUGGCUCGAGCCGUCAGCAGCAGAAAGAGAAUGUUCUGGUGGGCUACCGGAAGGCCAAGUCGCAAGUUUUCCGGUCAGACUUCACCCCUGUGGGCAUCAGACCCAAGCAGGCUGUCAACACACCAGAGGUGAAGUUUGAGCCGUACAUGCCGGUGAAGGACGCUCUCACCUGGGAAGCUCUGCAGUUCAUGCGUGGUGUCAUGGACGAGUGUACACACCUGGGUAACUUCAGCAUCCCUGUUGAUCCCACUCUCGUCAUCAUCGUGGCAGCUAAGAAUGAUGGGUACAUGCCCCGCAAUGGCAUCAUUCCCCUGACAGACCUGUGGCCAGGGAGUGAGAUGAGAACCCUGAAGACUGGACAUGUUGCUGCCUACCUCUUCAACCACCAGAUGUUCAGGAAGGCCAUCAAGGACUCAUUUGAUAGAGUUAUAGAUAAAUAUUACACCUGAAGGUACUAACAGGAUUCUCUUCACUGCCAUGCCACCUACUAGAGGCGGCGUGACCAGACCCGGCAGAGUAACAAGAGAGAGACUUUCCUGGCGCAAGAGUACACCUGGAUUACUGCCACGCGCUUCACCUGGCGACUCGUAAACGCUUACCCCUCACCUUGACCGCCGCCCACUGCCACCCACGUAACACCUCCCCCACGCACCGCACUCCCACUAAGUCCACCACCACUAACACCUUCCACGUACUACCAACGCCCACACAUAAUUUCAGGAGUUCGGCUGAAAUGCGGGAGAGGAAGCGCCAGGAACAAC